CCGAUCCCUCCAGGUGCGCCGCCGCUUUGAUCGUAUCCGCGGAGAGAGAGAGAGGUGAUGAAAAUGCCAACGGCGGGCCAAACGGAUCGCCAAGCAUCAUCAUGCGGAGUGGAGCCUCUCAGAUCGCUGCCCUUCUAACCGAGCCUCCAAAUCUCGCACGAAAAAAAGAGAUCAUGGCGAAGGAGGCGGCCGGCAUCACUUCCUCCAUUCAUCCUCAACAGGUACAGCUUAAGAUGGCCGCCGCCCUGCUGCACUUGCUCCACGUUGGUAGUCCCUGCUUGCCUACAGGUACAGUUCUCCUUUCCCCUUACGCCAUAUGCCUAGGCUACAGGGGAAUGCCAUGCUUCAGACGAGCAAAACACGAGAAUCCCAAAAGAAAUGGGUGUAGACGCUCUCAUGCAGCUUGUUAGGUCUUAGAAUAUCUCCUUUACGUGAGAGCUUUGACAUGAUAGAAGGCCCUUACAAUUAUCACUGAUACACUUGAUUGAAUCAUGUGAGUUGCAUUGUAUCUAUUUAAUCAUUUUUUCUACUUGUUCAAGAUAUUCCAAAUAAACUCAAAUUUCUCUUAUUUCUUUUAUGUAUAGUUUGAUCGUUUUUUGAAGUGUAAAAUUUAUGUUGGUGAUACUUUUUUAAUUGGUCCUUUAUCUUUUACAUAAUUGAGCAGAAAGAAAAGAAUAUGAUUUUUUUUGUUUGCUUUAACAAUGAAAGGUUUGAACUUGGAAAAUACUUCAAUUCCAUCACAGGUGUUGAUGCUCAAGUUUCUUGUGCAUUUAAAUCUGAGGGGAAACCACAUGCAAAGAAAUUCAAGAAUCAGUUGUAUAAUUAGGUUUACUAACAUCUAUGCGUUUCUCUUAUGGGAAUCGUUUCCAUACGGCGCGCCGGCGGAACGCUCGGCCGGUUGCGUGCGAGACGCGCGAUUCUUUUUGAUCAAGCGUAGCCCAUCUGGCCCACCACCGCUUGCUCAUCCUUUCUAUCCUUAUCCCGUACGGAAGCUCUCCUCCACUCAUUCACUUCCUUUCCUCAUCCCCUACCUUCAGUUCUUGCCAACAGCUAGCACCCAAAUCAAAACACCAGAGAAAUCACCAAUGCGGAGACGAGCAGGCGAUGCAACUGGGAGGCCGAGCUUUUCCACCACUUGAUGCUACCGGCGGCGACCGGACUUGCAAGCCCCGGGUUGGUGGAGCUGCAAUCGCGGCGACGAGGAGCUGCAUCCGGCGGUGAUUUUUGCUGGAAGUAGUUCUUUUUUUGCUACAAUCGACACAUAUUUUUUAUGAUGAUUUUUAUUAAUGCUGGAACCAUCAUUAAUUUUUGCUGGAGCUGCCUUUUUUUGUUGCUACAAUCGAGUGGUAGCGUUUUUGCUGCCGAGAUGUUUUGCUGGAACCAGUGAUUUGUUUUGCUGGAACUGGCUUUUCUUUUUGCUACAAUCGACCUUUUUUAGAUUUGUUCUUCUGAGAAUAUUUUUGCUGGAUUCAUCUUUGCUUCCACCAUAGUUUGCUUUUGCUGGAACCAGCAUUUUUCAAAAGAUCCAACGGGUGGUGACGCGGAGCUACCUCGGGGUAAUUUUGUUGCAAGCGUCGAUGGUGAGCAUCGGCGGCGAGCCUUGCCGGCAAGCAUUUUUUGCUACCACCGUAGUCUUUUCUUCCUACCACCAUAGGUUGUUUUUGUUGCGAGUGUUGACUGCGAGCAUCAGGCGAGCAUCGACGGCGACAAGAUUUUUUUGCUGCAACAGUCUAUUGAAUUUGCUACUAUCGGUGAGGGAUUUUGCUACAUCCAUCAUGGCGGAGGUGCGACCCGCGACGGCGGCAGCGAUGAAUUUGCUGCAACUAUCGUUCUCUUUUGCUACGACCGGCGUUUUUUUUCUGAUACAUCCAUGAAUGGCGUUGGAUCUUGGCUGUUGCUGACGCAACCCCGGGCAGCGAGCUUCGACGGUGAGGGGGUGGCGACGGCGCAUCAGGGUGCUGCAACCAUGGAGCUCGCCGGCGAGUUGCUGCCAUCUUCACCGGAGAUGCCACCGCGGGUGGACGCGGCUACAUGCAUGGAGCCGGCGAGAAGUGUAGGCGGCGACCGGCGGUGAGGAAAGACGGAGGCGAGGCGGUCAGCGCGUGCGGGGGCGGCGCUCCUUUUCCUCUCGUUUUUCCUGUGCAGAGGUUAACGAUGAGGAGGAUAGGGACAAAUCUGACUUUUUUUUUGAUUUGUGAGGACAAAUCUGACGGCUGUACAUACAGAUCAAACGGCUACGGGCAGGCCGGCCGAAACUUUCGGCCGGUGCGCCGGCGCCUAUAAGCGCCCUUCUCUUAUUUAUUUUGUGCAUUCAUUAUUAUUUUUAAUUUCUCUCUUCAUCUGUUGGAAUUAGUACAGCAACCAAUCCACUUUCUGAUUUGCUGUGCAGCAACUAUACUAGAAGUUGGCAUGUAAAACCAGGAUGGUUACGUUCCUCUUUAAGUCA